AAGCGCUUGCAAUCAGACUUGCAUGCAGUUGAUCAUCCGAUGUUCUCACCGGUGCACUCAAUUGCGUUCAGGCCAGCAUUGGUUUUGGUGGUUGGAUAAAGGCCUAGGGAAUGUAUCUACCCUCCGGGCGUAGACUUAUAGCCCCGAGUGUCAUGCGGCCUCCCGGGACCGAGGAACGCGCUUCGGCUCGGAUGUUGGCGUAAUGGUUGUCAGCGA
rnacentral:rRNA from 1 species